rnacentral:rRNA from 1 species
GAUGAACGCUGGCGGCGUGCCUAAUACAUGCAAGUCGAGCGAACGGACGAGAAGCUUGCUUCUCUGAUGUUAGCGGCGGACGGGUGAGUAACACGUGUAUAACCUACCUAUAAGACUGGUAUAACUUCGGGAAACCGGAGCUAAUACCGUAUAAUCUUUUGAACCGCAUUGUUCAAAAGUGAAAUACGGUCUUGCUGUCACUUCUCGAUGGAUCCGCGCUGCAUUAGAUAGUUGGUAAGGUAACGGCUUUCCACGGCAACGAUGCCUAGCCGACCUGAGAGGGUGAGAGGCGACACUGGAACUGAGACACGGUCAAGACUACUAAGGGAGGCAGCAGUAGGGAACGUGACGCAAUGGGCGAAAGCAUGACGGAGUAAGGGCGCGCGAGAGAUGAAGGUGUUCGGAGCGGAAAAAUCGGUUAUGAGGGAAAAACAGAUGUGGAAGUAAAUGAGGAGAGAGUGACGGUAACUAAUAAGAAAGCAACGGCUAACUACGUG